rnacentral:rRNA from 1 species
AUGCAGUUCUGGAGCCGUGUUGCGGCCAUGCUGCCCAUUGAGCUCAACAAUCAAGGCAUAGUCGACAACCUCACCGAAAAUAAUAAGACCAGGGUGUGGGUUAGCAGACGGAUAGGGGAGGACCAACUCUACUUGGUGCAUGUUCAGCGCACUCCAGGCAUUGGUCUCCCGACCUCACUGGUCGUCAAGUAUUUCCAGAACAUGAACCCAACACCGCUACUGGAUGACAGUGUUAAGAAUCGAUGCAAGUCAGAGAUGAUCCUGUUAGCUAGCAUCUCACACAACAACAUCAUCAACGUCCUAGAUGUCAUCGAGAGGGAUGAGGCCGUCAUGCUAGCCUACAAGUAUGAGGUGAAUGGCAACCUUGGCUACUGGCUGCACCAGCCCAAGGAUGCCGGUCGUCCAUUGUCCUGGCCGGAGAGGAGGACCAUCGCCAUCGGCGUCGCCAAAGGGCUCUGCCACUUGCACCAUGGAUGCAACAAGCCGAUUGUCCACCACAACAUCAGCUCCCACAACAUCUUGCUUGAUCAGAAUUUCAAGGCCGUGAUAGCCAGUUUUGGCGCUGCACAGAUGAACAUGGUCGGCCUCAACCAACCGUUGCCGAUCGCGGAGAUUCCGGUUGGUAACUUUGGGUAUGCAGCUCCAGAAUAUGGUACAGCGCCAGGCCAGCUGACGGAGAAAGUAGACAUUUACAGUUUUGGUGUGGUGCUGCUAGAGCUCGUCACAGGGCGGGUGGCGAACGGAGCUGGAGCGGAUGGUCAUUUGGCGAUUUGGGCACAGGAUAAUUGCAAUGAGCUGAUGGCAAAUCAUCGGGAAAUGUUCAUGAUGGUCGUCGACAGAGAGAUCCCAGAUCGUGCACGAUACAUGGAGGAGAUGGUGAUGGUGUUCAGGCUGGGUGUGGAUUGCACCGCCAGGGGUCCGCAUCUAAGGCCGUCCAUGCAGAUGGUUCUCAAACGUCUCCGCCGGGGCCGAUUCCGUGCCCCCCUCAGCUGCUACCUACUGUGA